rnacentral:tRNA from 2 species
GGGCUCGUGGUCUAGGGGUUAUGACGUCGCCUUCACGAGGCGAAGGUCGGGAGUUCGAAUCUCCCCGAGCCCA